GCCACAACGGCUUCCUGACGUGGCAGAAAACCCUACCGGAGCA
rnacentral:ncRNA from 1 species